GCUGAAGAAACCAGAGAUGGAUACAAAUCCAGCAGAUGAGAGCUUGGAAAGGUAGGAUCUCAGCAUUUGCUGCUACCCCCUGCACCGAGCACAGACCUAUUCUCAGAGGACUUCUAUCUCUUCUCGUUUGUGUGAAUGACAAGCAAGGAAUUGUCAGCCACUAAAAGAAAGGAUAUUUCUAAGCUUUCGAACGGAGACAGUGCUACUGAAAAGAGCCAUCUGAAGUUAUCAAAGCUACAGAAUGGGAAAGAAAAACUUUGUCAGAAGUAUCCAUCUACUGAGGACACGGAUGCAGUCACAGCUCAGAGCUAUGUCUCCACUGCAGAAUUUCAGCAGCUCCUCAGGUAUACAGCCGAGUUGGGGAAGGAAUUAAAUAACACUAAUGCAAAACUCAGGAAAAUUAUGAAAAGCAUGCAGCAACUGAAGGACACUUCAGGCAAGACAGCACAGUGAAAUGCAUGGGCUCUGGUAACAGAGAUGGCCUGACUCUACACACAGCUUAAAUCGAAAUUCCCGUCCCCAUCCUCCCCUUUAUUUUUUUUCUAUUUCUGGAUAAGAGAAGCAGGAAUGUUAAUAAAGGUAUAUACCAUUGUUGCUUCUGGGUCUUUUCUCUGAGAGUUGCAGGUGAUUAUUUUAACUCUUGAGACGAAACGACCAACCUUGCUAGAGUUCUGGGUAGGCAUCUCUACAAAUGCCUGAAUGAUGACAUUUAUUCCUCUACCUUGUUUUGGGGCUGCUGUGAGAGACAGAUGUGUAACCAAGAGAGCAGAUCACAAGCAAUGGCAGCAUCCUGGGCCUGCUCUGUACCCUUCUCUCGAUCUGUGGCUCGACGGAGCCCAGUACAACCCUCUGUCGCCAAGCACAGUCCAGCAUACAGGUCAUUAGCCCUCCC
rnacentral:lncRNA from 1 species